CCUCAGCCUCCCUGGACUCAAGCGAUCCUCCCAUGUCAGCCUCCUGGGUAGCUGAGACUACAGAAAUGCAACAACAAGCCUGGCUUUCUCUCUCUCUCUUUUGUACUUUUUUUUUGUAGAAACUGGGUUUCACCAUGUUCCCCCAGCUGUUCUUGAAAUCCUGGGCUCAAGCAACCUGCCCGCUUCUGCCUCCCUACGUGCUGGGAUUACAGGCGUGAGCCACUGCACCCAGCUGGAAAAAAAAAAACAAUUCUUAUGCAUCAAUGUGCAGACCACAAUUCUCUGAACUCCAAGGAAUAGGCCGGGAACGGUGGCUCAAGCCUGUAAUCCUAGCACUUUGGGAGGCCGAGGCGAGACCAGACUGAUCAACAUGGUGAAACUUCGUCUCUACUAAUAAUACAAAAAAAUUAGCUGGGCGUGGUGGGGCGCGCCUGUAAUCCCACCUACUGGAAGAGACUGAGUCAGGAGAAUCGCUUGAACCUGAAAGACGGAGGUUGCACUAAGUCCAGAUCGUGCCACUGCACUCCAGCCUGGGAGACAGAGCGGGACUCCAUCUCAAAACAAAGAAACAAAGAAACAAACAAACAAACAUAUUAUACUUUCCAUUUUCACUCCCUGGGUCUCCGUACCACCCAAGGUGGAUGUGUGAGCACAAGACUGGUAAAAGGAAGAAAAUAGAAAAAAAGAACUACCUCGCUCAGGAUGUCUUUUUUCGGAAGCUAUAAGCCCACUACCGUGUUAAAGUGUCCACUAAUCUUCUGUUCCUUUAUGACAUGCCAUUGAAGAGCAAGCCAGAAAAAGAAAAUCCGAAAAAAGAGAAAAGGAAAUGCCUACAUAAUUUCAUUUUGAAUUCCUUAGUUUUCUGAGCAGUGUUUUAUACGGUGACCAAGCAUGGGAGUAUCUUCCUCAUUUGACCUAUUCCUCGCCUUUUCUUUCCCAUCUUUUGCUGGGGAAAAUUGGAUCCUAUUUCACACAUAAAUUGCAGCAGAACUUAUAUUUCUUGGGUGGAGGGGAGGUGAGUGAAUGACGGGUGAUAUUGAAGACAACAGAAUUAGGCGUUGGAAGAUACACUGACCCUACAAAUGGCAGUUUCUGUAUUUUGAAGAAAUGACAAAAGCAGUAGGAUCACGGUGGCCGAGAUAGCUCAGUUGGGAGAGCGUUAGACUGAAGAUCUAAAGGUCCCUGGUUCAAUCCCGGGUUUCGGCAGUUGCAUUUUGGUUUUAGCAUAAUUGUCACUCCUUCAACACAGCGCUUGCGCACCAAUCCCAGAGGUCUAUAUAUAACUCCAGGUGUUUGUGGUUUUUUUGUUUCUUUUUUCUUUUUUCUUUUUUUUGGCUGUUUUCUGAAAAUUCCAUAAAGGUAAUGUAUACACACACACACACACACACACACACACACACACAUCUAUAUAUAUAUAUUUACACACAAACACAUAUAUAUAUAUAUAUUUGUAACACUCUCUCCACUGAAGACUUCCAUGAAGUGUUAACUGACAGGACGUAAAUUAUUUAAAGUCUUAAACCUAGCAAGUUAUUACUUUUAAAACCUAAGAAAUUCCAAUAUGCUAUAUGCUGUGGCACUUACAAUUCAUUUCUGAUCUGAUGUUAUUUAUGUGUGUUGGGCGGGGGUGUUUUUAAAUCACAAGAAAUGUGAAGAAACCUGUAGAAGAAGAACUAUUAUACUGUAUGAGUGUAUAUAUGUGGUGGUGGUAUAUUCAAGAAACAUUUUGCAAUUAGAAAAAACCGGGUUUGUACCUUGAGUCAACUCCAUAGCUCCGCAGUUAAACUGCUGGAAAAAUAACUUUUGCUUUGUUUUGUUUUUCUGAGGCAGGGUCUCACUCUGUCACCCAUGCUGGAAUGCAGUGGUAUGAUCACAGCUCACUGCAGCCUCAGCCUCCCUGGACUCAAGCGAUCCUCCUAUGUCAACCUCCUGAGUAGCUGAGACUACAGAAAUGCAACAACAAGCCUGGCUUUUUGUUUGUUUGUUUGUUUUUUGGUUUUGUUUUUUUUUUAAUUUUUUUGGUAGAGACUGGGUUUCACCAUGUUGCCCUGGCUCUUCUGGAAAUCCUGGCUCACCUCUGCCUCUCACCAUGCUGGGAUUACAGGCUUGAGCCACCACACCAGGCCUAAUUACAGGAAUAUUCUAAGUUUUCUUACUGACAGGAAGCCUGGCACCCUUGUCCAGAAUUUCCAAAUCUUAACUAAUUUCUGUGUUGGAAUCCAGGAAAGAACAAAAACAAGUACUUGUAUAUGAAUUAUUCUGUCAGACAUUCAUGAGGGGCCUUAGAAUACUGAAAAUGAAAGCAAAUGGGCAGCAAAGUCAUCAAGAUUCAGGUGCAUGUGCCUCAUUUUCCCUUUUCCACUUCAACUUCUCUGUUGAAAUACUGUGUUGGGGGUAAUGGGUCUUUUUUUUCCCUCCUUUUUUCUUUCAAAUUGCUGUUUCAUUUUGAGAGUUAUUUUCCCCUAACUCCUGCAUACUGUGUGAGGAGACUAAACAAUCUACAGUACUUCAACAUCAGAACUGCAGCAAGUUGAAAAAGGAAAAUUAGUACCAAAUGAGAAGAAACCUCAGGGUGAGGACACUGACUCUACAGAAACUGUAAAUCAGAUACUUUAUCCUUUAGGUCACUGAGGCUUUCUCAACUCAGAAGCUUGUGUUUCAUUUCAUUAAGAAAUAUUUGAUUAGUCAAAUGGUAGCACUGAAUGUUUUCUUGCCUAACACGGUAAUGAUUCCUUUACAUUCUGUUGAAAGGGAAGGUCUAGGGUAAUUCCAAGCAUGAUUUGUCUUCUAUUCAAUAGCUUAAAAAUGUAGCUAAUAAUAAUUAUGUUAAAUUGGAUGUUGUAAAGAUCUAAGGAGAUUAUGCAUAGAAAUGCAUUCUGUCGAGAACACUCAAGGCAUGAAACUUAAUUACUGGGAGACCAUGCUCCAUGUUCUCUGGCUCUGGGAAUCUCCCAGAACAGCAUUUAAAGAGAUAACAUCAUCUCUAGACAAUGCUGUCCAAUUAAAAGAUAAUACAAGUCUUCUACUUUAUCUUCCGGAAUAAAAAUAAUUAAAAAAACACAAGUCAUAAAU
rnacentral:lncRNA from 1 species